rnacentral:rRNA from 1 species
AACGAACGCUGGCGGCAGGCCUAACACAUGCAAGUCGAACGCAUCUUCGGGUGAGUGGCGCACGGGUGAGUAACACGUGGGAAUGUGCCCUUUGGUUCGGAAUAACGUCUGGAAACGGACGCUAAUACCGGAUGAGCCCUACGGGGGAAAGAUUUAUCGCCAAAGGAGCAGCCCGCGUCUGAUUAGGUAGUUGGUGGGGUAAAGGCCUACCAAGCCGACGAUCAGUAGCUGGUCUGAGAGGAUGAUCAGCCACACUGGGACUGAGACACGGCCCAGACGCCUGCGGGAGGAAGCAGUGGGGAAUAUUGGACAAUGGGCGCAAGCCUGAUCCAGCCAUGCCGCGUGAGUGAUGAAGGCCUUCGGGUUGUAAAGCUCUUUCGCACGUGACGAUGAUGACGGUAACGUGAGAAGAAGCCCCGGCUAACUUCGUGCCAGCCGCCGCAGUAAAAC